rnacentral:rRNA from 1 species
CCUACGGGGGACAGCAGUGAGGAAUAUUGGUCAAUGGACGAGAGUCUGAACCAGCCAUGUAGCGUGAAGGACGACUGCCCUAUGAGUUGUAAACUUCUUUUAUACCGGAAUAAAACGACGCACGUGUGCCUUUUUGCAUGUACUUUAUGAAUAAGGAUCGGCUAACUCCUUGCCAGCAGCCGCGGUAAUACGGAGGAUCCGAGCGUUAUCCGGAUUUAUUGGGUUUAAAGGGUGCGUAGGUUGUUUUAUAAGUCAGUUGUGAAAGUUUGCGGCUCAACCGUAAAAUUGCAAUUGAUACUGGCAGACUGGAGAACGGUUGAGGUAGGCGGAAUGUGUGGUGUAGCGGUGAAAUGCUUAGAUAUCACGAAGAACCCCGAUUGCGAAGGCAGCUUGCUAGACUGUGACUGACAUUGAUGCUCGAAAGCGUGGGUAUCGAACAGGAUUAGAUACCCCAGUAGUC